rnacentral:misc_RNA from 1 species
UCACUACUUGCGUAGGCAGUCUGGCUAGAGUCCCCACCACAACGUGCUGGUAACUAACCACAGGGGUUGCGCUCGUUGCGCCACUUAAGGCAACACCUCACGGCACGAGCUGACGACAGCCAUGCAGCACCUUCCAUGAUGCCCCGAAGGGAAGCCCCGUUUCGGGGGCGGUCAUCACGGAUUUAGCCCGGGUAAGGUUCUUCGCGUUGCAUCGAAUUAAGCCACAUGCUCCACCGCUUGUGCGGGCCCCCGUCAAUUCCUUUGAGUUUCAUUCUUGCGAACGUACUCCCCAGGUGGUAUGCUUACUGCGUUAACUGCGUCACCGAUCCGCAAGCGGACCAACAACUAGCAUACAUCGUUUACAGCGUGGACUAC